rnacentral:lncRNA from 1 species
AGCCUGGUGGUGGUGAAACACAGGUGGUGUGUACUCCGCUUCGCGGCUCGUGCAGGCCCCCAGCAUGUGCGGCUUCGCCCGCUCUGCGGGUGCACUGGUUGGAGGGUGGCGUGUCGGUGUGCUGUUGCCCUUAUUAUCUCAUUUGUUUCUUCGUAUCAUGUUUCUCAUCAUCUGUUUCACAUUUUAUAUGACUGCGUUCGUGACGUUUGGAUGUGCCGUUGCGAGAGCUUGCAGGGACCGUAGGAACGAGCGAAGACCGGUUGGCGGGAUUCCAGAAGGGCUUCGUGUAUAGACUUCAAACCUUGGAGAUAGCGGAGUAUUCGGCAGAAGGAAAGAUGAAAAGGAAUAUGCACUGAAGCAAAUUGAAGGUACAGGGAUAUCCAUGUCCGCCUGUAGAGAGAUUGCAGUAAGUGUACAUAAAUGAAAGAAAGUGUUUUUACUGACAUUAUAAUUCAACAGAUAAUAUAUUUUUAUUCUCUGAAUUAAAUAACGCAAAGCUUAUCUAAAUGUUUUCCUUGAAGUAUGCAAGCGUGAAAGUUAUUCAAACAUGAGCUUUCCUUAAAAUGCUUUCUAAAUGUUAUUAUUAUUAUUUUUUAAAAAAUGUGUGGAUGUGUGGAAAGAGGUGUUCUCGCUAGGUAAUGGUAAUUCCUCUUUCUGGUAUUGUUUUUGUUUUAUCUGCUUUUAUGUGUUGGGAGGGAAAUAAAAGUGGCCCUUUUAAUGAAGAUUUAUUUAAA